rnacentral:rRNA from 1 species
ACKGCUCAGUAACACGUGGCUAACCUGCCCUUAGGACGGAAACACCCCCGGGAAACUGGGGCUAAUUUCCGAUAGGCGAAAACUUCUGGAAUGGGUUUUUACUCAAAGGGCGUUUGAAGCAUGCUUUAGACGUUGCCUAAGGAUGGGGCCGCGGCCGGUCAGGUAGUUGGUGAGGUAACUGCUCACCAAGCCUUUAACCGGUGCGGGCCGUGGGAGCGGAAGCCCGGAGAUGGGCACUGAGACAAGGGCCCAGGCCCUACGGGGCGCAGCAGUCGCGAAAACUUCACAAUAAGCGAAAGCUUGAUGGGGCCAUCCCGAGUGCCAUCCGCUGAGGAUGGCUUUUACCCAGUGUAGAUAGCUGGGGGAAUAAGGAGAGGGCAAGUCUGGUGUCAGCCGCCGCGGUAAUACCAGCUCUCCGAGUGGUUGGGAUGAUUAUUGGGCCUGAAGCAUCCGUAGCUGGCUGUGCAAGUCCCCUGUUAAACCCGGCGAUCUAAUCGUCGGUCUGCGGGGGAUACUGCUCGGCUAGGGGACGAGAGAGGCAGACGGUAUUUUCGGGGUAGGGGUGAAAUCCUAUAAUCCCGGGAAGACCACCAGUGGCGAAGGCUGUCUGCUAGAACGCGCCCGACGGUGAGGGAUGAAAGCUGGGGGAGCGAACCGGAUUAGAUACCCGGGUAGUCCCAGCUGUAAACGAUGCAGGCUAGGUGUUUGGACGGCCACGUGCCGUUCUAGUGCCGCAGGGAAGCUGUUAAGCCUGCCGCCUGGGGAGUACGAUCGCAAGAUUGAAACUUAAAGGAAUUGGCGGGGGAGCAC